rnacentral:rRNA from 1 species
UGGGGGAUAUUGCACAAUGGGCGAAAGCCUGAUGCAGCGACGCCGCGUGGGGGAUGAAGGCUUUCGGGUUGUAAACCUCUUUCGCUAUCGAACAAGGCCCGCUUAGGGUGGGUUGAGGGUAGGUGGAGAAGAAGCGCCGGCUAACUACGUGCCAGCAGCCGCGGUAAUACGUAGGGCGCGAGCGUUGUCCGGAAUUAUUGGGCGUAAAGGGCUUGUAGGCGGCUUGUUGCGCCUGCUGUGAAAACGCGGGGCUUAACUUCGCGCGUGCAGUGGGUACGGGCAGGCUUGAGUGUGGUAGGGGUGACUGGAAUUCCAGGUGUAGCGGUGGAAUGCGCAGAUAUCUGGUGGAACACAGAUGGCGAAGGCAGGUCACUGGGCCAUUACUGACGCUGAGGAGCGAAAGCAUGGGUAGCGAACAGG